rnacentral:misc_RNA from 1 species
CAAGGAAGCCAUUUCUGUUUUACUUGCGGUGCGCACAUCUGUUUUGCCAAGCCCACUCACAGGUACAUCUCCCUAUUCUCGAAACCAGACGACAGCUGCAGCGAUGGAGCGCACGGCUGAUCAGCGCAUUCGCACGACGGAGUGGGAGGACGUGCAGUAUCGGUAUGGCAACCGCGUCGGCAAGUACAAAACACACGAACUGGAGAUACUAGCCCAACAAAUUGCCGACAGAAACCAAAACACGUGCCUCACAGCCUAUGACCCACAAGCGGAGAAAGUCGCAGCCAAGCUUGAGCGUGGAGGGUACGAGUACAAGGGCGGCGAAGAGGAAGGCACCAACUUCAUUGUGGACUCGGACGACGAGGACGAAGCGGUGGCUGCUAUCCGUCGAAGACGUCUGAUGGAGCUGCAGCGGCAGAAGGCGAUGGAGCGCUUUGGGGUAUUACGGCACAUCCCGGGCGCUGACUACGUCGCAGAGGUGACAGAGGCGUCUUCUUCGUGUUGGGUGGUGGCGGCGCUCAUCAAACCGGGUCACAGCGACUGUGAGGCACUGUUGACGGUGCUUCGCACGGUGGCUCAGCGGCGCCGAUCGGUCAAGUUCGUUUCGAUGAUCUACACCGAGGCAAUUCCUAAAUUUCCCGACGGCCUCCUUCCCUGCGUACUGUUGUACAAGGACAAAGAGUUGAAGAAGCAGAUCACUGGGCUGGCAGACUGGCAGGCCCAGAAGAGAUUGAGUGUUGCCACAGUCGAGCAGGUGCUUUCUCGCAACGGUGUUCUGCCGCCUAUCGAGGACGACGAAAUCGACGAAGCCGUGGAUAAGGAUGAGUGAAGUGCCCAGCGUCCGUCUCUCGGAUGGCUCUUCGUACCUGUAAUUUUUGUGAAGCCUACAGUGGAGCUGCUUUCCGACCUUGGAGCUGCGCUUACGCUGAACGAUCCGAUGUGUACCUCUCAGGCCGCUACAAAACGUUUCUUACUCGUCGAUGCCGUUGCUCUUGCUACUCCGCGUGCGUACAGCCAUCCGCUGCCAGGCUUGUCGUUUUCGAGAUGCCAUACCGCUGUGAAUCUUCCAGUCGUACAUGUUCAUGUGUGUGUGUGUGUGUGUAGUCGCGUUUUCCCAUGAAAAGGGGUUUGUGUGUGCUCCCUUUCUGCCCCGUCGCUUCUCCGCUUUUAUCACGCAGCUGUGACGGCGAACCGCUGACGAUGCAGGACUGAAACCAAACGUAAAUGGCGGAGGACACUCUCUAGCUGUCACUAUG